UUUCCGGAGCUUUUUACGGUGGUAAUCUGUCCGCAAAGAGACUCUUACUGUUGCCCGGUUUUGAAGAAGGGAGUGAAAAUGUUUCAUUCUGCUGGGUUUUGUUUGUUUUUCGAGACAGGAUUUCUCUCUGUGUAGCUUUGGAGCCUGUCCUGGAACAGGCUGGCUUCGAACUCACAGAGAUCCACCUGUCUCUAUCUCCUGAAUGCUGGGAUUAAAGAUCUGCUUUCUUAGAACCCUAGCUGUCUGACUUUGAACCUGAGGAGGACUGCACGUACCCCAUGUCUCUGCUCAAGUGCUGGGAUUACAGAUGAUGCUGUUAGAAAAUUUGCUGCUUGUGAUGAGAUGCAUUGAGCCCUUUGAUCCAGUGAGGUUAUUAAAGAAUGCAGUUUUGAAAUCAUGGUAAAAUCUGAGUUGCCUGGAACCAGAAUUUUGUCAUUGGUGAAGAUAAACUUUUAAGACCUGCCCCAUAGACUGUCCUGCUCAAAAUUCACCAGCACACCAGGAUAUCCAUUUCCAUGGACACCUUUGGGAGACAGUUGGAGAG